rnacentral:snoRNA from 1 species
UUUUAAAGGAUCAAGUGCUGACUCCUUGUGAGGACCAGCAUGCAACAGUUUACAAAUGGCAGCCUCGCUGGCGAUGGGCACAGCCGGCUGUUUGUGUGGGUUGUUCUAGGGGGCCUUGGAGACAACA